rnacentral:lncRNA from 1 species
CAGCAAAUUUGGAAACAGCAAAGCUGGUUUUUAAUUUCCCUCUCCCUGGCUGCUUCUUGCAAGGAGAAGCAGCAUGUUAUCAAUUUUCUCUUUUUUAUCACUAACAUUAAUCAUGUUUGAGAUCCUGUAUUAAAAGGUUAACAUAGAAAAGUGAGGAGCUGUGUAAUACAAGCUGUAGAAACAUUUAUGUUCUUAACUCAGUCCUGCGUCUACAAACUCUCCUAAACUACUAUUUUAAUUUCCUUUAACUUCUUUUCUGCCUUCAGUUUUCUCCCCCUCCUUUAGUAGCAGUCUUUACGUUCAAAGGAAGUGUUCUUUUUCUUUUGAUUGUAUCCCACUGGAAAACAAAUUGUAUUUUUCAACUGAGUUGAUGUGAACUUUUUUUUUUUUGCCUGACAACACCUUCCUGACUUGUACCUUGUGCUGAGAACCUGCUCACUUUUAUGCCGAUUGAAAUGACACUGGCAGCAGAGAUGCAGGAAUAUUUCACUGCAGCCAUUCCAGAGCUCUUCGAGACAACGUUUCUUGAAUAAUAACACGGUGCAAUUCAUGGAGUACAAAACAUGGAAAUACAAAGCAGCCUGGAAACCAAGUACCAGUGCAAGGAUGGAGAUUACAUCACUAACACAGCCAGCCAGAUGGAUGAUUUUAUCUCUGUCAUAGAUUUCAGGGGAUUCUGGAGCCAUUUUGCAAAGGAAGAAUCUGAAAAAUCUGGAAUUGGGAUCUACAGUUCUACUGCGUCGCUUUACAUAAUUAUGUACUGUUACCAAUGUGAUAAGGAGGGAAGGUAAAUAAACAUCAGAAAUUCUGAG